GACGAACGCUGGCGGCGUGCUUAAUACAUGCAAGUCGAACGGAAAGGCCCUGCUUUUGUGGGGUGCUCGAGUGGCGAACGGGUGAGUAACACGUGAGUAACCUGCCCUUGACUUUGGGAUAACUUCAGGAAACUGGGGCUAAUACCGGAUAGGAGCUCCUGCUGCAUGGUGGGGGUUGGAAAGUUUCGGCGGUUGGGGAUGGACUCGCGGCUUAUCAGCUUGUUGGUGGGGUAGUGGCUUACCAAGGCUUUGACGGGUAGCCGGCCUGAGAGGGUGACCGGCGACAUGGGGACUGAGAUACGGCCCAGACUGCUACGGGAGGCAGCAGUGGGGAAUAUUGCACAAUGGGCGGAAGCCUGAUGCAGCAACGCCGCGUGCGGGAUGACGGCCUUCGGGUUGUAAACCGCUUUCGCCUGUGACGAAGCGUGAGUGACGGUAAUGGGUAAAGAAGCACCGGCUAACUACGUG
rnacentral:rRNA from 1 species